rnacentral:tRNA from 1 species
GGGCGCCGGGGUGGCGGCCUCGGUCUUCUCGGCCGGCUCCUCGUCGGGUGCCUGCUCGGCCGGCUGCUCGGCCUCGGCCGGCGCCUGC